GUCCUGAUGGUGUAGUGGAUAUCACACCCGACUAGUAUGCGGGGGGACGUGGGUUCAAAUCCCACUCAGGGCG